rnacentral:rRNA from 1 species
AUUGAACGCUGGCGGCAGGCCUAACACAUGCAAGUCGAGCGGAUGACGGGAGCUUGCUCCUUGAUUCAGCGGCGGACGGGUGAGUAAUGCCUAGGAAUCUGUCUGGUAGUGGGGGACAACGUUUCGAAAGGAACGCUAAUACCGCAUACGUCCUACGGGAGAAAGCAGGGGGCCUUCGGGCCUUGCGCUAUCAGAUGAGCCUAGGUCGGAUUAGCUAGUAGGUGAGGUAAUGGCUCACCUAGGCGACGAUCCGUAACUGGUCUGAGAGGAUGAUCAGUCACACUGGAACUGAGACACGGGCCAGGCUCCUACGGGAGGCAGCAGUGGGGAAUAUUGGACAAUGGGCGAAAGCCUGAUCCAGCCAUGCCGCGUGUGUGAAGAAGGUCUUCGGAUUGUAAAGCACUUUAAGUUGGGAGGAAGGGCAGUAAGUUAAUACCUUGCUGUUUUGACGUUACCGACAGAAUAAGCACCGGUUAACUCUGUGCCAGCAGCCGCGGUAAUAC